GCAUAUCAAUAAGCGGAGGAAAAGAAACCAACAGGGAUUGCCUCAGUAGCGGCGAGUGAAGCGGCAAAAGCUCAAAUUUGAAAUCUGGCGUCUUUGGCGUCCGAGUUGUAAUUUGAAGAAGGUAUCUUUGGGCCCGGCUCUUGUCUAUGUUCCUUGGAACAGGACGUCACAGAGGGUGAGAAUCCCGUGCGAUGAGAUGACCCGGGUCUGUGUAAAGUUCCUUCGACGAGUCGAGUUGUUUGGGAAUGCAGCUCUAAGUGGGUGGUAAAUUCCAUCUAAAGCUAAAUAUUGGCGAGAGACCGAUAGCGAACAAGUACAGUGAUGGAAAGAUGAAAAGAACUUUGAAAAGAGAGUGAAAAAGUACGUGAAAUUGUUGAAAGGGAAGGGCUUGAGAUCAGACUUGGUAUUUUGCAUGCUGCUCUCUCGGGGGCGGCCGCUGCGGUUUACCGGGCCAGCAUCGGUUUGGAGCGGCAGGAUAAUGGCGGAGGAAUGUGGCACGGCUUCUGCUGUGUGUUAUAGCCUCUGACGAUACUGCCAGCCUAGACCGAGGACUGCGGUUUUUAACCUAGGAUGUUGGCAUAAUGAUCUUAAGUCGCCCGUCUUGAAACACGGACC
rnacentral:rRNA from 1 species